AGCACGAGUGGAGUCGGCGGCGGUACUGCUUCAGUUGUGCAGGAUGAUCUAGACGUCGUUGUCCUCUUCGUGUUGCGGCAUCGAGUUCCAAGGAUCCAUUGCGACUACGUAGUUUAAGUAGUCGGUGCUGGGUCCGUGGUCGUCGGCCUGCCGGUAGUGGAGCAGAUGAUGUCGGUAGGUAGAGGUGUCACGAGAGAGAGAGAGAGAGCACAUUAGCACAAAUAGGAGAAGCUAGCUGAUCUUUUUUCUUCCCCUAUCCUCUUCGGCUGUCGAAGCUGGAUCGUCUCCGGCCGCCGCCGCCCCCGCCGCGUCCACGCGGCAGGGGGACUCGGUGAGGGGCGGUAUCUCAGGCUACUGCCGCGUCUAGGAACUAGGUAACCUAAGGUGGCGACCUUCGUCGUCGGAUCAGUGGCGAGGAUGAGACUGUAGGGGAGUUGUACUUCGACUACUCCAUGGUCAUAGUGUCCGACUCGGGUACUUAUGUCUAAGUCAACAGUAUCUCCUUCUGUCGCUUCUUCUACUUCGUGUUCUCCUUCUUUUACUUCGUCUGCUUCAUCAGCAAGCAGGAUCCUCCUUCAACUGUAGAGGACAAACCUUCCUCAAAUUCUUUCAUUUUCACUUCUUGUACUACUUCCGGUUCACAUUGACCACGAGUUUCUUCGAACCUCCCCUUUGUUCUUUACCUUGCUUCGUAGAGGAACUGGUAAAUUUCUAUACAGGUAUAGCGUUCUCCGGACGCCUGUGGUUCUUCGUUUGAAGAAACUCCAUAUCAAGCUUACAUGUUCCACCCUUUCAACGACAUCUCUUGAUAUGAAAACUGGUCCUACAACGAUCUUUCCGAGAACCAAGGUACUAAGAAGAGGUACUGAUAGGAGACAGUUAACAACUAGUGUAACCCAAAUCUUUUAAACAAAGACGUGAGGUCGGUAAUAAAUUCUACCACUCUUCUUUAUGAUAAUCCUCACUGUAGAAUCUAUCGAUAUUUUAACUUUUCUUCUCCCGAUAGUUGAUGUACCUCUUUUUAUUUUCGUCCCACCGAUAGUGAUGUCUAUACACCUGCAGACUUGUAGUCUUUUCUCCGAUGUACCGAUAGUGUCGUGUAAAGCAACUACUUAGGACCUUCGAAGUCUCGAUAUAAUACUCUAAAUAAAUACAAGGUCGUGGUGUAUGUCGAGCACAUUAACGGCUCUAUGAAGUACUACGUGACCAGCUUACCAUAGACCUUCUAUUCCAUAGAUGUAACUGACAACUAUUACGGUGUUGUUUACUACGAACGUAAGGGUAAAAUCUCUUAGACUAUCCAGGUUCAUUCGAAUACAAUCCACCGUUCGAAAAUGUAUACGCAACAACACGCGUAUAAGAAUUGGACUAUCAGUUCCUACCAAACCUACACAAUCUUCUUAGCUAACUCUUUUAGGCACUAUCACAACGUAAGACCUGAUCGUGUGGAUUCUCUUAUCUCUUAAAAGUUCUCCAACGGUUCUACGACUUUCAUCUGGUUUCAUUUUUUAAUAGGGAACUACACUUUUGUGCUACCUUGAGAUGCAUGAAAUACGAGUCACAACGAAAUGCGAUGUUCUCACAUAAAUUAGCGAACUCCGUCGCCCUUUUCUGGAAAUGAACACGAGGAUCACUACUACUAACCUAUAAAACACCUCUUCAGACACUAUCCGAAUUCAACAAACGACUGUAAUGACUUUAUAAAAGACCCUGAGUCAUACACUGACGAUUAUAAAUGAAAGGAUUCUAGACACUUUAAUUUUACUUAUAUUCCUUCACCAGCUUCACACCCUUACUUUAAUAUCUUAGAUACAGUCUACGAUACUCACGUUUUAAACUGUUCAUGACCAGACUAUAGGUUCCGGAGUACCCAUAACGAUGUGAGGAACUAGGUGCCAAAUUCUAACUAUACGACGUACACACGAAACUUUACGAGGAACCACUGCUCAGGUAAUAACUAACACUCUCAUUUCAAGUACUCUAGGCACUCAAUCACAGAUCGGAUUACGAACUUAUAGUUUACCUCUCACUCGUUCUCUUAUGUCUUCGGGUCAGACACAGGUAAAGACGUUACCUUCGAUUGCUUCACUACAGGUAGAAGUCACGUGCUCAUCGAUCUUUCUCCGGACGUUGGUCAAAUAGGUCUUGUCUCAAUCUGGCGAUGAACCUACUACUCAUACACGGUCGAUUAGUUCUCUUAAAACUACACAACCCUACCACCUUACAACGACCAAGUGCGAUGGGUUGAAACUCCCGAUAACGCGCACUAUAUAAACGGUAGGGUCAUUGAUGUCAUCGAAGGCUCAGUCGAAAGUCAUCUUCACCUUCUCAUGAAUCACUCGUGGCGUCAGCAGACUGGGGACUAAACGAUCUCCGAAAUUACACAAGUGUUUUGACCCUCUCUUUGUUUCGAUUUCUACUACUCUUCUGGCUCCGACGAUCAAAGACCUCAACGGAACUACUAUAUGUUCUUCCAAAUCUCGCGUAGUGUGAUAUCUCCCCCAAGGAAGACAUGAAGGAUGUUCAGUCGAGUUGAAGUUGUUUGUUACUACGGCUUGUGUAUGGUUCCGACAUCGACAAUCGAACGAUGGAGACGUUAUGAAAACGCGUGCUAGUACAAAUGGAAUUCAAUCAAUACCGGUGUACCUUGGAAUACAACCUCAGUUAUUUAAUACAGUUCGCUCAGUCUGUUUAAAACAUCAGUUAUUUAAUACAGUUCGCUCAGUCUGUUUAAAGCAGGAAUAAUUUACACCACAAACGUAACUAUGAGAGAAGUUCGCACACGAGUGCGAUAAGUUAUAAAGAUACUAUAAACACAACCUUUGUACGGGUAAUACCGAACAAUACACAAGUCGGUACCACGUAUGUUGUAGAACAGCGGUACA
rnacentral:rRNA from 1 species